ACAAACAAUUCUAAAAUUUGUAUAGAACCACAAAAGACCCCAAAUAACCAAAGCAAUUUUGAAAAAGCAAAGCAAAGCCAGAGGGAUCAUGAUUCCAGGUUUCAAGUUAUAUCACAAAGCUGUAGUUCCUCAGGGCAGUAUGCGUAC